rnacentral:rRNA from 1 species
UACGUAGGGGGCAAGCGUUGUCCGGAUUUAUUGGGCGUAAAGCGCGUGUAGGCGGCUCGAUAAGUCCGGUGUGAAAUCUUGGGGCUCAACCCCAAGCCUGCACUGGAUACUGUCGAGCCUGAGUCCGGGAGGGGAGAGCGGAAUUCCUAGUGUAGCGGUGAAAUGCGCAGAUAUUAGGAAGAACACCGGUGGCGAAGGCGGCUCUCUGGAACGGUACUGACGCUGAGACGCGAAAGCGUGGGGAGCGAACAGG